rnacentral:rRNA from 1 species
UACGUAGGUGGCGAGCGUUGUCCGGAAUCACUGGGCGUAAAGGGCGCGUAGGCGGCGCCACAAGUCGCAUGUGAAAUACCAGGGCUCAACUCUGGGGUGUCAUGCGAAACUGUGGGGCUUGAGUGCAGUAGAGGAAAGCGGAAUUCCUGGUGUAGCGGUAAAAUGCGUAGAGAUCAGGAGGAACACCGGUGGCGAAGGCGGCUUUCUGGGCUGCAACUGACGCUGAGGCGCGAAAGCGUGGGGAG